rnacentral:rRNA from 1 species
AGAUCAAGCGUCUGAAGGGCAUCUGGUGGAUGCCUUGGCACUGAGAGGCGAUGAAGGACGUAGCACGUUGCGAUAAGUCACGGGGAGCCGCGAGCAGGCAUUGAUCCGUGAAUUUCCGAAUGGGGAAACCCACCGCUUAACGCGGUAUCCCACACUGAAUAAAUAGGUGUGGGAAGCGAACCCGGCGAACUGAAACAUCUAAGUAGCCGGAGGAAAGGACAUCAACCGAGACUCCGCUAGUAGUGGCGAGCGAACGCGGACCAGGCCAGUCAUUCGAUCUACAUAACCGGAACCGUCUGGAAAGUCGGGCCAUAGCGGGUGAUAGCCCCGUACGGAUAAACCGGAUCGGAUGCUCGAGUAGGGCGGGGCACGUGAAACCCUGUCUGAACGUGGGGGGACCACCCUCCAAGCCUAAGUACUCCUCAGUGACCGAUAGUGCACCAGUACCGUGAGGGAAAGGUGAAAAGCACCCCGACAAGGGGAGUGAAACAGUUCCUGAAACCGGAUGCCUACAAGCAGUCGGAGCCUCUUCAUGGGGUGACGGCGUACCUUUUGUAUAAUGGGUCAGCGACUUAGAGUAUGCAGCGAGCUUAAGCCGGUAGGUGGAGGCGCAGCGAAAGCGAGUCUGAAUAGGGCGACCGAGUUGCAUGCUUUAGACCCGAAACCUGAUGAUCUAGCCAUGGGCAGGUUGAAGGUGCGGUAACACGCACUGGAGGACCGAACUCACGCCUGUUGAAAAAGUCGGAGAUGACCUGUGGCUAGGGGUGAAAGGCCAAUCAAAUCAGGAAAUAGCUGGUUCUCCGCGAAAGCUAUUUAGGUAGCGCGUCGCGUAUUGCCGCGGGGGGUAGAGCACUGGAUGGGCUAGGGGGGCGCGAGCCUUACCAAACCUAACCAAACUCCGAAUACCCGCGAGCAGAGCGCGGCAGACAGACGGUGGGUGCUAAGGUCCAUCGUCGAGAGGGAAACAGCCCAGACCGCCAGCUAAGGUCCCCAAAUCACGGCUAAGUGGGAAAGGAUGUGGGAAGGCCAUGACAACCAGGAGGUUGGCUUAGAAGCAGCCAUCCUUUAAAGAAAGCGUAAUAGCUCACUGGUCUAGUUAAGCCGGCCUGCGCCGAAAAUGUAUCGGGGCUCAAGCCGUGUACCGAAGCUGCGGAUG